rnacentral:lncRNA from 1 species
UUCAAUUCUUCAAUUCUAUACCAUUCCAAAAGAUAAAAGAAAAGGAAUGAAUUCUAAACCAUUCUAAACCAUUCUAUACAAUUCCAAAACAUACCAUCAUUUCCAUACCAUUCCAAUUUUCAUACAAUUCAUGUCAUUUAAAACAAAACUAAACGAAAAGAUAAAUAAAGAGGAACCUAUUUGUUAGUGUCGGUCAUGCUCUUAGUCGCGCUAUUCGUCCCACUUUUAGUCGGACUUUUAGUCGCUUUUUUGCCAACAUUUUCGACAUUUGAAUCUCUUGUAGUAGGCGUGAUUAUGUUGUCGUGUUCUUGGCUCGACUGACCCUAAUGUAAAAAAAAAUUGAAAUUACAAAGAAAAUAUGAAUAUUGAUUUAUAUAUAAAUGCUAAUUACCUCAAUCGUCCCUCGACGUAAGUCUUCCCUUAGUUCCUUUAGUAUAUCCGGCAUCUGUUUUCUAAUGGCCUCUUGAACUGCCCGAUCAAAGUCUUCUUUACUUUUUUGUUGUUGAAUUUCUAUAUAAUUCGUCGUUGUGUUCUGUAAAGUCGCCAUAUUAUCAGGAAUUUUAAACCAAUACAAUUAGUUUUUAAACCAAUACAAUUUUAAAGCUAAGGAUUUUC